rnacentral:rRNA from 1 species
UACGAAGGGGGGCUAGCGUUGCUCGGAAUGACUGGGCGUAAAGGGCGCGUAGGCGGCUCAUACAGUCAGAUGUGAAAUUCCUGGGCUUAACCUGGGGGCUGCAUUUGAUACGUGUGGGCUUGAGUGGGGAAGAGGGUCGUGGAAUUCCCAGUGUAGAGGUGAAAUUCGUAGAUAUUGGGAAGAACACCGGUGGCGAAGGCGGCGACCUGGUCCUUGACUGACGCUGAGGCGCGAAAGCGUGGGGAGCAAACAGG